CGUUAAGUUGCAGGGUAUAGACCCGAAACCCGGUGAUCUAGCCAUGGGCAGGUUGAAGGUUGGGUAACACUAACUGGAGGACCGAACCGACUAAUGUUGAAAAAUUAGCGGAUGACUUGUGGCUGGGGGUGAAAGGCCAAUCAAACCGGGAGAUAGCUGGUUCUCCCCGAAAGCUAUUUAGGUAGCGCCUCGUGAAUUCAUCUCCGGGGGUAGAGCACUGUUUCGGCAAGGGGGUCAUCCCGACUUACCAACCCGAUGCAAACUGCGAAUACCGGAGAAUGUUAUCACGGGAGACACACGGCGGGUGCUAACGUCCGUCGUGAAGAGGGAAACAACCCAGACCGCCAGCUAAGGUCCCAAAGUCAUGGUUAAGUGGGAAACGAUGUGGGAAGGCCCAGACAGCCAGGAUGUUGGCUUAGAAGCAGCCAUCAUUUAAAGAAAGCGUAAUAGCUCACUGGUCGAGUCGGCCUGCGCGGAAGAUGUAACGGGGCUAAACCAUG
rnacentral:rRNA from 1 species